GGCUAGUUGGUGUCAUUCCUGAUAAGUUCACUUUCCCUUGUGUGCUUAAGGCUUGUAAAAAUGAAGUAGAUGUGAAAAAGAUUCAUGGGUUAGUUUUUAAACUUGGGCUAGAAGUUGAUUUGUUCAUUGGCAGUGCAUUGUUGCACAGUUAUCUGAUGUAUAGGAUGGUGGAUUUCGCAUUAGAUGUGUUUGAGGAUUUGCCGGAGAGGGAAGAUGUUGUGCUUUGGAAUGCCAUGAUCAAUGGCUAUGCUCAAACAGGUGGGUUUGGUAGUGCUUUGAUGGUUUUUAGGUG
rnacentral:misc_RNA from 1 species